rnacentral:rRNA from 1 species
UGGGGAAUCUUGCGCAAUGGCCGAAAGGCUGACGCAGCGACGCCGCGUGUGGGAGGACGCCCUUCGGGGUGUAAACCACUGUUGCCCGGGACGAACAUCCUCUUUCGAGAGGACUGACGGUACCGGGUGAGGAAGCACCGGCUAACUCCGUGCCAGCAGCCGCGGUAAUACGGAGGGUGCGAGCGUUGUCCGGAAUCACUGGGCGUAAAGGGCGCGUAGGCGGCGCGGAUAGUCGGCGGUGAAAGCCCGGAGCUCAACUCCGGGUCGGCCGUCGAUACUUCCGGGCUUGAGCACUGUAGAGGCAGAUGGAAUUCCGGGUGUAGCGGUGGAAUGCGUAGAGAUCCGGAAGAACACCGGUGGCGAAGGCGGUCUGCUGGGCAGUUGCUGACGCUGAUGCGCGACAGCGUGGGGAGCAAACAG